UAUUAAAAAUUUCAUUCAUUUCUAUUGUUAAAAGCUAGCGUGAUUGAUGAAAUAUCCUAAAGUUAAACGUGACGUGCCUUGUGUAUCUCAUGCAAACGUACAAGGACUUUUUUAAUAGUAAAAAUAGAUGAAAUUUUUAAUA
rfam:Gossypium raimondii Chr03_contig_1065, whole genome shotgun sequence.